CCCAAGAGAUCGGGAUAACACCUGGAAACAGAUGCUAAUACCGGAUAACAACAGAUGAUGCCUAUCAACUGUUUAAAAGAUGGUUCUGCUAUCACUCUUGGAUGGACCUGCGGUGCAUUAGCUAGUUGGUAGGGUAACGGCCUACCAAGGCGAUGAUGCAUAGCCGAGUUGAGAGACUGAUCGGCCACAUUGGGACUGAGACACGGCCCAAACUCCUACGAGAGGCAGCAGCU
rnacentral:rRNA from 1 species